UCGUCACUCAGAAUUUCGGUGGAGACGCAGGGGAGAGGCCAGCGGGAGGAGGGCGGUGAGCCGUCUCCACCACAACAUAAGGGAAAGAAGGUGCCGUGCCCAGGCCACGCGGCCGAGGCUCCCCGUCAUUGGGCGCCCAGACACCCGGAGAGCAGGGCCUAGGGGCCAGGAGAUGCCCCCCCACCCAUGCCAUCAAGUCGGAUCCUGUGCACACAGCUGCCUGUGGGUUUCUGCCACCUCUAAACCACGGCGACGCAUUCCUAUUUUCGCUUCACUGUUUAUUGGUUUUGAGAUCAACUAGCCUUUCAACAAACAAACAGACAGACAGUCAGCCACUAACCGAGGCUGGAAGAGCAUCUGCAGUAGAUGACGUAUCGCACCGACGCACCCAAGCCAAGGGUCAGUCCCCAGCUGUGCGGUCCCUGCCCGGAGCCUCACCCUGGCAUCUGUGACUGCGACUUUUCUCCUCCUUCCCCGACCCCAACCCCCAUCCCAUUUCAGCUGUAUACCUAUUAUUUAAUUUUAUCGUGUGUUCUUUACGGCCUGUGCGUGUUCCGUGGCCUCCCCUGCAGGAGCAGGAGUCCUUGAAGUUAGGAAGCAUUAUUAGCAUUAGAAGUAUCUGUCCCUCUGGCACAAA